rnacentral:rRNA from 1 species
UGGGGGAUAUUGCACAAUGGGCGAAAGCCUGAUGCAGCGACGCCGCGUGGGGGAUGAAGGCCUUCGGGUUGUAAACUUCUUUUGCUCUGAACAAGGCAUGCUAAUGGGUGUGUUGAGUGCAGGGGUUGAUUAGCGCCGGCUAACUACGUGCCAGCAGCCGCGGUAAUACGUAGGGCGCGAGCGUUGUCCGGAAUUCUUGGGCGUAAAGGGCUUGUAGGUGGCUGGUUGCGUCUGUCGUGAAAGCUCAUGGCUUAACUGUGGGUUUGCGGUGGGUACGGGCUGGCUUGAGUGCAGUAGGGGAGGCUGGAAUUCCUGGUGUAGCGGUGGAAUGCGCAGAUAUCAGGAGGAAUACCGGUGGCGAAGGCGGGUCUCUGGGCUGUUACUGACACUGAGGAGCGAAAGCAUGGGGAGCGAACAGG